rnacentral:rRNA from 1 species
GACGGAGGGGGCUAGCGUUGUUCGGAAUUACUGGGCGUAAAGAGCGCGUAGGCGGCUUAGCAAGUUGGAAGUGAAAUCCCGGGGCUUAACCUCGGAACUGCUUUCAAAACUGUUAGGCUAGAGUAUAGUAGAGGGUGAUAGAAUUCCUAGUGUAGAGGUGAAAUUCUUAGAUAUUAGGAGGAAUACCGGUGGCGAAGGCGGUCACCUGGGCUAUUACUGACGCUGAGGCGCGAAAGCGUGGGGAGCAAACAGG